CAACAACAACAAAUAUGGCGGAAUCUGUAGUGUCAAACACGGAAGAAGAAGGAUACAACCAUAAUUAAACCAAGAAGUUUAUGAAGAAGGGAUCACUGGAUUUUGUCACUUUGGUACAAGAAACAGAAAAGGAUAUCAUAGACCACCUUACUUAUACGGAAGCAUAGGAGCUGUUGAAGGAAAUUGCUGCCAGACAGUCAGCAGUUAUCACUGACAGCCUGUCCUGGCCCAGCUUGGACCAUCCUCAAGCUAACCAUGAUGGUGUGUUUGCAAGAAUUGUCCAUUUGGUAGACCAUGAUGAAGACCAGCUUUGUUGUGGCAUGGCCUGACAAUACUGUACAAGCCAGAGACCAAAAAAAGGUUAAGUGGUGACUGAUCCUCUCACCCUCCUUAUCCAGGAAACGUUUCGGAACAACGUAUUGGCACUGAAGAUGUGGAGGACACAGAUUGAUCACAGUACAUCCUUUGGAUACAUGGACACCUUCAACGGGACAACAACAAAACUGUACCUGCCUUUUUUUUUAAAGGAAGUAGUUAUAAAGUUAUAAAAUUAUUGUUAACAGCUUUUUUAGUCUUGUUGUUUAAGAAUGCUUGCAACAUUUAAGUGGAUAAACGGUUGUUUCAAAAUUUGAUUCUUCAGUAAUGCAUUCUUUAUUAAAUGACGUCAUCUUAUUUCUUUCAAUAUAGUGUAAAUAAUAAGAACAUAAUUAUCCUUUGUAUACAAAAUGAAAACCAAGUUUACUGUUCUAUUAAUCAUUAUUUAUUUAUCUUGUUCUUUUGUCAGAAAUAUUACAGGGGCAUACAUACAGUAUUCCUUAAAUAAAAGGGGCAGUUCUUAGAAAAUUAACAUGUCUUUUAGCAAUGCAUAUUCAAACUUUUUCCACAUUUAUAACCAGCAACAAUAUGUAAGUAUUAUAAUGUAACACAAAUUAAUACUAUGAAUUUACUACUGAUUUUGCCGUGCCUCUCAUCAAAUAAACAUGUUUUACUGAAAGUUUCUUAAAAGAUGUUAUGUGGAAGACUUAAUCAAUCAUUUAAUAAAUAUUUGAGCCUCGCUCUGGGAAAAGGGGGUUUAAUGCAUGUACAUAAGAUUGUCCAAGAUUAGGCUGUGUUGACUGCACAGGCUAAUCAGGGGCAACACUUUCUGCCUUAUCUGAAUUUUCUCUAAGAGACUCCAUUUCAAAAAAUAAAAAUAAAGCAGCAAUUGUCUGCCUGAUUGGUAUGAUCAGCACAUGUUAAUCUUGUACGACAAUUUACGCACAUGCAUUAAGCCCCAUUUUCCCAGGGCAAGGGUCACCUAUUUAGGUUUUAGCUGUCUAUAUGCUCUUUAACUUUUGAAUCAUGAUGCAGUUUCAUAUAAUAAUGUAUUAUGAGUCGUUUUUAAUUGAUGCAAAUUCUUUUGUUCAGUGUUGAACUCAACAUGUAUUAUAAUAAGGUGUUCACUUAACAUUCUUGCAGUAAUGUUUUGCUGUGUAAUAUACAUGUAAUAAUAAAUCAAAAUUGAACAACUA